rnacentral:lncRNA from 1 species
CGGCUUUAUAUUGAGAGCCAGCUGAACUUUGGGUGUAGAAUUGUGUUGACAUAGAAGUAGUGCUAUUUGGAACUGUGUUUGUAAAACUAAAGAAGUACAAAUGAUGCAGAGAAGAGAGAAGAGAAAGUAGUCUACAAAAAGAUGGCUACCAGUAAUAUUUGCUCUCCAAAUUCUCCUUCUACAAAAUAAAGUGCUUAAACCUACAUUUAUAAACCCAUUAAAAUCCCAUUUGAAAGGCAAAUAUAGUGUACCUGCACACCACAUCCAACAUAUUAUGGAGAACUAACAAAAGACACUAACAUUAAACAAUGUAAUAAAACACAAAUACGAAAGUGAAGUUGUUUUUAUUGAUAAAAACACAGUAUUUUUAGCAAUAACUGGUUCUUUAAUGUCAUUCUUUUCAUUCUGCUAAACAUCAGCCUUAUCUCCAAAAAGUGAACUUUUAUACUUGAAAAGGUUAGUUGUUGGGUUAAACUUGCAUAUGCAGAUGCUCAUAUACCUACAAAAAGUGAACUUUUACUUUCCUAUGCUGCAAUAAGUGAACUUUUAAUUUGAAAAUAAAUGUAAACAUGAAAAAAGGGUUCAUUAUAUGUUCUUAAUUUGUUAUGUAUCUAACCAAAAAGUUCAGUUUCUUUCAAACUUCCAAUAGAUAUAAAAAAGUUCAGUUUGAAGCAGAAAAAAAAAAUCAUAGAACAACUAAUAACAAAGCAGAAAAAAAUGAAGCAAAUAUCAGAGAACAACUAAUACAACAAUGAGGUGAAAACCUAAUAUAAGUAUCUUGCCAAGUUUGGGUUCCAUAGAAAGUACAAAUGUUGAUCACGUCAAAGGGAAAUAAGAUGUGAGACAAAACAGUGGAGAUGGUGUUAGAAGAAAAUAAAAAGUGAAAGAAGUAAGCAGCUGACAAUCAAAAUUAACCAAACUAAGAAUUUUCUCAAUUUAGCUCUUUGAAAGUUUUACAUUACAUACUAAUACCUUGCAUUGUGCUUAUCUUAGCACCUUGCAUUUUUCUUCCCUCAAUGGUGGCCAAUUGUUAGCAAUGAUAAUCAAUUUCCUUGCAAAAAAUUUAAAAAUGUUAACAAACAAAAUUCACAAUAAUAAUCAAUGAGUUUAGCAAAGUACUCAUAAUUCAAUA